CCUGCAUCCGACCGCGGCAAGAAGGGCAAAAAGGGCAAGAAGAAAAAACCAGGACUGGAGGAUGACAUCGCAAGGAGCUUGAGCAAAUGAGAUUGGCGAGGCUGGGGAGCUGCCCGCUGAGGAACCCCCGGACCCGAAGCCCCCGAGCCUGUUCCCGAAAAGAAGGAGAAAAAAAAAACCAGGAAAGGUGCAGACGAGGCCAAAGAGAUGGA